rnacentral:lncRNA from 1 species
AUAAGACAGUAAGUUAAUUAAGAGUUGUGCUUGUGUUUCUUCUAACGAAAAUAAAGAGACACAACACAACAUUAUCUGUGACUAGCUAUUGUAAACAUCAAGGAAGAAUAGAAUAACAAGGCAUCAUACCAACACACACUCAAGAGGUGGAAUAGGAUAAAAACAAUCUCAAAAUAGGGGCUUUUAUAGAGAAAACGAUACAUUUAUUGAAAAAAAAAACAUGUGAAUACAAAGAUCUACACUUGGUGAGAGCUUAGGGUGUUGACUGAUUGAGUAUUCAAAUACAGGUACAACCUAUCGAAAUUAAAGGCUCCAAAUUUGAGUUGGUAUAGCCUUGUGCCACAGAUUUCAAGAUUCCAACAAUAAGGCCAUCACUCUCUUUGGUGUCUUUUUAGAUUAUAUGGUGGUAUUAGCUUAGCUAGAAGCUCAACCCACAGAUUUGAGAUAGAAUUGAAGAAUGAAAUUGAUAAUUAUCUGAAGAAUUCUGAACACUCAUUUCACAAUGGAUGGAAAGUUUCAUGAUAUAUCGAAGGUUGGUAGAAGUGGAAGAGGCUACUUUCCUAAAUGGAGAUUCAUAAUAAUAGGGAUUGUUGUCUGAUUGUUUUUUUUGGCUCGGGUCACUUUUGGGUCUGACCUUUGUAAAUAACUCUUUGUUGAUUUAAUGAAUUGGCCAUAAAUCUGGUUUUAAUGCAAAAAAAAAAAAAGGACUAACUUUCAUUUCUUUUGAUUUUCUUAGUUUUGCCCCAGAUGUUACCUUUUUCUUAUAAACCUUACAUAAUUUCUAGGUAAAUGUUUCUUAAUCUUUGAAUCUAAUCAACUCCAAAUGUCCAUUUUCUCAUUCAAUCAUUACUCCAACAUGGUUUCAACGUGAUAAAAAAAUUUGCUUCAUCCGUACUAAAGAGGAAGGGGAAUGUCUGAAGAAACAAUUCAAGAAAACAUUUUGACCCAAAAAAAGGAAGCCAACUUUUCAAGAAAAUAUUUUGAUGGGUUAUCAUGAAUUUUUAUUUUCAUCAAUAGUCUUCCUCAUUUUGGUUCUUAUUUGGUUUAUAAUAUUGUCCUCUUUCCCCUUCAUUGGUUUCCAUGGUAGUUGUUGUUCAUUUUCCUCCUUUUUAUUUGAUCUAAAAUUUGACGUGGUCGAAGUUUGGAGCUUUUCUAUUUCCAUUUUUCUUAUCCCAUUUUGAUAAUUGAGUACUGGUGGCAUGGAUGGGUGUCUAAUUUAUCUUGGUUGGAUUCAAAAUUUGGAUCAAGGGAUAACCCAUAUUUUCUCUGGUAUCUUUGAG